rnacentral:rRNA from 1 species
UUGUGAGGUUAAGCGACUAAGCGUACACGGUGGAUGCCCUGGCAGUCAGAGGCGAUGAAGGACGUGCUAAUCUGCGAUAAGCGUCGGUGAGGUGAUAUGAACCGUUAUAACCGGCGAUUUCCGAAUGGGGAAACCCAGUGUGUUUCGACACACUAUCAUUAACUGAAUCCAUAGGUUAAUGAGGCGAACCGGGGGAACUGAAACAUCUAAGUACCCCGAGGAAAAGAAAUCAACCGAGAUUCCCCCAGUAGCGGCGAGCGAACGGGGAGGAGCCCAGAGCCUGAAUCAGUGUGUGUGUUAGUGGAAGCGUCUGGAAAGGCGCGCGAUACAGGGUGACAGCCCCGUACACAAAAAUGCACAUAUUGUGAGCUCGAUGAGUAGGGCGGGACACGUGGUAUCCUGUCUGAAUAUGGGGGGACCAUCCUCCAAGGCUAAAUACUCCUGACUGACCGAUAGUGAACCAGUACCGUGAGGGAAAGGCGAAAAGAACCCCGGCGAGGGGAGUGAAAAAGAACCUGAAACCGUGUACGUACAAGCAGUGGGAGCCUCUUAAUGGGGUGACUGCGUACCUUUUGUAUAAUGGGUCAGCGACUUAUAUUCUGUAGCAAGGUUAACCGAAUAGGGGAGCCGAAGGGAAACCGAGUCUUAACUGGGCGUUAAGUUGCAGGGUAUAGACCCGAAACCCGGUGAUCUAGCCAUGGGCAGGUUGAAGGUUGGGUAACACUAACUGGAGGACCGAACCGACUAAUGUUGAAAAAUUAGCGGAUGACUUGUGGCUGGGGGUGAAAGGCCAAUCAAACCGGGAGAUAGCUGGUUCUCCCCGAAAGCUAUUUAGGUAGCGCCUCGUGAAUUCAUCUCCGGGGGUAGAGCACUGUUUCGGCAAGGGGGUCAUCCCGACUUACCAACCCGAUGCAAACUGCGAAUACCGGAGAAUGUUAUCACGGGAGACACACGGCGGGUGCUAACGUCCGUCGUGAAGAGGGAAACAACCCAGACCGCCAGCUAAGGUCCCAAAGUCAUGGUUAAGUGGGAAACGAUGUGGGAAGGCCCAGACAGCCAGGAUGUUGGCUUAGAAGCAGCCAUCAUUUAAAGAAAGCGUAAUAGCUCACUGGUCGAGUCGGCCUGCGCGGAAGAUGUAACGGGGCUAAACCAUG